rnacentral:tRNA from 1 species
CGGGUGUAGCUCAGUGGUAGAGCGUUAGUUUCCCAAGUUGCUGUCGUGGGUUCGAUCCCCACGGUCGACCGGCCA